rnacentral:lncRNA from 1 species
ACGGUGGCACGGUGUGGAGACGAAGCCGGGAGGAAGAAGGCUCUGUUUUCUCCUCCCAGGCUUUUCUCCAUCGCGGUUCACAAAAAAAUCCUUAAGGGUCCAUGAGGGGGAGUGGUCCACGGGUCCAUGGGAGUUUAAAAACAAGUCAGCGUAACCAUUUAAAUAGGAUUAGUCAAAUAGGAAAUGGGUUAGCCCAUUUUGAAAUAAAGCAAGCCUAUUUGGUUCUAAACCAAAUUGACAGCCCAUUUGAAUGAUUUUUGACCCAAAAAA